UCAUAAAACAAUUUUGAAAAUAUUUCAACUAAAUAUUUUAACAAUUUCUUAACAGGGGAUACAAAUUACAUUGUCAAACCCUAAAUCUCCAGUCAUUUAAUUUCUUCAUAUGCCUCAUUCGUGAGAAAGAGCUAGACUGAAUACUUGAGCUCCGCUUAGGAAGAUACAGAAAAGCGCGUGUAAUGGGAUGGAGAACGGAGAUACAGUUCAUUCGCGCCAAAUUUGGUUACAAAUCACAUUGUCAAACCCUAAAUCUCCUUCAUUCAAUUUCUUCAUAUGCCUGAUUCGUGAGAAAGAGCCAGACUGAAUACUUGUUUCGCUUAAUCAGACUCCAUUUUCGAAACCCACCUUGUGAAGAUGGAAUAAUGUGAACGCCACUGUUUGUUUACACGGUGAAAGAUAAUAUACGAUAAUUUUUUUUUUUUUUAAAUUUUUCUGUUCAUAAGAAUAUGAAAAAUAGAACACGCAACAAUUGGGGAUAGAAACAUCAAAUAAAACUUAUAUAUACAUACAACAAUUACUAACGGACAGAGUUUGAGUUGGCUGCUAAAUUAAUAUAUUAAUUUAUUAUUUCUAUUUCAUAUUCUGGUUGGGUUGGCGUAUUCAUAACUGUCAAUCAAGGAGAAGUCAAUUGGAAAUAAAGUAUUAAUUUUAAUUUAAUCCGUUCUUAUUGUGAUGUUUUGAUUGAGUUUUUAAAUUGAUACUAGUCAAAUUAAUGUUUCCCUUUUUUUUGUUUUGCGACAUCAUGUCAUAUGACUAAUUAACAUGAAUGAAGAAGGUCAAGUGGCCAGAAAUCAGUAAUUAAAGACUAUAAACUAAAUCUAUAUUUAAGAACAUGAAUAAGAAUUCAGAACCUAAUCCUUCUAAAAUAUUAGUU